GAUGAAGAACGCAGCGAAAUGCGAUAAGUAAUGUGAAUUGCAGAAUUCAGUGAAUCAUCGAAUCUUUGAACGCACAUUGCGCCCGCCAGCAUUCUGGCGGGCAUGCCUGUUCGAGCGUCAUUCCAACCCUCGAGCCCCCCCGGGGGCCUCGGUGUUGGGGGACGGCACACCAGCCGCCCCCGAAAUGCAGUGGCGACCCCGCCGCAGCCUCCCCUGCGUAGUAGCACACACCUCGCACCGGAGCGCGGAGGCGGUCACGCCGUAAAACGCCCAACUUUCUUAGAGUUGACCUCGGAUCAGGUAGGAAUACCCGCUGAACUUAAGCAUAUCAAUAAGCGGAGGA
rnacentral:misc_RNA from 1 species